AGAGUUUGAUCCUGGCUCAGGAUGAACGCUAGCUACAGGCUUAACACAUGCAAGUCGAGGGGCAGCAUGGUGGAUGCUUGCAUUCACCGAUGGCGACCGGCGUAUGGGUGAGUAACGCGUAUCCAACCUGGCGUGCACACCGGCACAGCCCCUGGAAACGGGGAUUAAUUCCGGAUGGCGUGGACUAGGCGCAUGCCUAUUCCACUAAAGGUAUUCCGGUGCACGAUGGGGAUGCGUUCCAUUAGGCAGUUGGCGGGGUAACGGCCCACCAAGCCUUCGAUGGAUAGGGGUUCUGAGAGGAAGGUCCCCCACACUGGAACUGAGACACGGUCCAGACUCCUACGGGAGGCAGCAGUGAGGAAUAUUGGUCAAUGGCCGGAAGGCUGAACCAGCCAAGUAGCGUGAGGGAUGACAGCCCUACGGGUUGUAAACCUCUUUUGUCCGGGAAUAAAACGGGGGACGCGUCCCCCCUUGCAUGUACCGGUUGAAUAAGGGCCGGCUAAUUCCGUGCCAGCAGCCGCGGUAAUACGGAAGGCCCGAGCGUUAUCCGGAUUUAUUGGGUUUAAAGGGAGCGUAGGCGGGAUUCUAAGCCAGCCGUUAAAUGAUGGGGCUCAACCCCGUCCUGCGGUUGGAACUGGCGUCCUUGAGUUGGGUGCAUGAAGGUGGAAUUCGUGGUGUAGCGGUGAAAUGCAUAGAUAUCACGAGGAACUCCGAUAGCGAAGGCAGCCUUCAGUGCCUCUACUGACGCUGACGCUCGAAGGCGCGGGUAUCAAACAGGAUUAGAUACCCUGGUAGUCCGCGCAGUAAACUAUGGACACUCGCGGUGUGGGCAUUGUCUUGCGCCGCUUAGCGAAAGCGUUAAGUGUCCCACCUGGGGAGUACGCCGGCAACGGUGAAACUCAAAGGAAUUGACGGGGGCCCGCACAAGCGGAGGAACAUGUGGUUUAAUUCGAUGAUACGCGAGGAACCUUACCCGGGCUUGAAAUGUGCAUGACUUCCGGCAGAGACGCCGGUUUCCUUCGGGCAUGCAUGUAGGUGCUGCAUGGUUGUCGUCAGCUCGUGCCGUGAGGUGUCGGCUUAAGUGCCAUAACGAGCGCAACCCCUUCCGCCGGUUACCAUCGGGUCAUGCCGGGGACUCCGGCGGCACUGCCAUCGCAAGAUGCGAGGAAGGUGGGGAUGACGUCAAAUCAGCACGGCCCUUACGUCCGGGGCCACACACGUGUUACAAUGGGGGGCACAGCAAGCAGGGUCGCGGCGACGCGUCCCGAAUCCUGAAAUCCCCUCCCAGUUCGGACUGGAGUCUGCAACCCGACUCCACGAAGCUGGAUUCGCUAGUAAUCGCGCAUCAGCCAUGGCGCGGUGAAUACGUACCCGGGCCUUGCACUCACCGCCCGUCAAG
rnacentral:rRNA from 1 species